GAUUUGUCUUUGAACUAAGGAUGGGGCUGCGGCGGAUUAGGUUGUUGGCGGUGUAAUGGACCACCAAGCCUUUGAUCCGUAAGGGCUCUUAGCGGAGGGGCCCUGAGAGGGAAUUUGAGACACUAUUCCCAGCCCUACGGGGUGCAGCAGUUAGGUAUAAUCUACAAUGCACGCAAGUGUGAUAGUUUGAGCCAGAGUGCGUUUCUAUUGAAAUGCUUUUGCCGAGUGUAAAAAGCUCGGCGAAUAAGGACUGGGUAAGACAGGUGCCAGCCGCCGCGGUAAUACCUGCGGUCCAAGUCGCAGCCAUUUUUAUUGGGUCUAAAACAUCCGUAGCUUGCUUGAUAAGUUUCUUGUGAAAUAUUAUGUCUUAAACAUGAUGCGCGCAAGAAGUACUGUUAAGCUAGAGACAGGGAGACGUAAAGAGUACGUUUGAAGUAGCGGUAAAAUGUUUUAAUCUCAGACGGACUAACAACAGCGAAGGCACUUUACGAGAACUGUUCUGACAGUAAGGGAUGAAGGCUAGGGGCGCAAAACGGAUUAGAUACCCGUGUAGUCCUAGCAGUAAACACUGCACACUAAACAUCGGUUCCUCCUCGAGAGGCAUCGGUGCUGCAGGGAAGCCGAAGAGUGUGCUACCUGGGAAGUAUGGUCGCAAGGCUGAAACUUAAAGGAAUAGGCGGGGAGACACUACAACAGGUGACGCGUGCGGUUCAAUUAGAUUAUACACCGUGAACCUCACCGGGAGCGACAGCAGGAUGAAGGUCAGUCUAAAGGGCUUACCUGACACGCUGAGCGGAGAUGCAUGGCCGACGUCAGCCUGUGUUGUGAGAUGACCUGUUAAAUCAGGUAACAGGCAAGACCCUCAUACCUAUUUAUUUUCUAUAGGUAGAUUGCCUUGGUAACAAGGAUGAGAGCGAGGGCUACGUUAGGUGAGUACAUCCCUAAUCCCCUGGGCGACACGCGCGCGUCAAUGGCGAAUACAACGGGAUGCGACGCAGAAAUGCGAAGCCAAUCUCUUAAAGUUCGUCUCAGUCUAGAUCGAGGUUUGCAACUCAGCCUCGUGACACUGGAAUCUGUAGUAAUCGUUUGUUAUCAGCGAACGGUGAAUAUGUCACUGUCUCUUGCACUCACUGCCCGUCAAACCAACCGAGUUUAGUUAUGGUGAAAUCUUCGGAGAGAACUUUGGCUAGACAAGGUAGGUU
rnacentral:rRNA from 1 species